rnacentral:rRNA from 1 species
GUGGGGAAUAUUGGGCAAUGGGCGCAAGCCUGACCCAGCAACGCCGCGUGAAGGAAGAAGGCUUUCGGGUUGUAAACUUCUUUUACCAGGGACGAAACAAAUGACGGUACCUGGUGAAUAAGCCACGGCUAACUACGUGCCAGCAGCCGCGGUAAUACGUAGGUGGCGAGCGUUAUCCGGAUUUAUUGGGUGUAAAGGGCGUGUAGGCGGGACAGCAAGUCAGAUGUGAAAACCAGAGGCUCAACCUCUGGCCUGCAUUUGAAACUGUUGUUCUUGAGUGUCGGAGAGGUAAUCGGAAUUCCGUGUGUAGCGGUGAAAUGCGUAGAUAUACGGAGGAACACCAGUGGCGAAGGCGGAUUACUGGACGAUAACUGACGCUGAGGCGCGAAAGCGUGGGGAGCAAACAGGAUUAGAUACCCCGGUAGUCC